UACGUAGGGUGCGAGCGUUGUCCGGAAUUAUUGGGCGUAAAGGGCUCGUAGGCGGUUUGUCGCGUCGGGAGUGAAAACCUUGGGCUUAACUCAGGGCUUGCUUUCGAUACGGGCAGACUAGAGGUAUGCAGGGGAGAACGGAAUUCCUGGUGUAGCGGUGAAAUGCGCAGAUAUCAGGAGGAACACCGGUGGCGAAGGCGGUUCUCUGGGCCUUACCUGACGCUGAGGAGCGAAAGCGUGGGGAGCGAACAGG
rnacentral:rRNA from 1 species